rnacentral:rRNA from 1 species
UACGGGGGGGGUAAGCGUUGUUCGGAUUUAUUGGGUUUAAAGGGUGCGUAGGCGGUCCUAUAAGUCAGUGCUGAAAUAUCCCGGCUUAACCGGGAGGGUGGCAUUGAUACUGCAGGACUUGAGUAAAGUUGAGGUAGGCGGAAUUGACGGUGUAGCGGUGAAAUGCUUAGAUAUCGUCAAGAACACCGAUAGUGAAGACAGCUUACUAAACUUUAACUGACGCUGAGGCACGAAAGUGUGGGGAUCAAACAGG